GAUGAACGCUGGCGGCGUGCCUAAUACAUGCAAGUCGAGCGAACAGACGAGGAGCUUGCUCCUCUGACGUUAGCGGCGGACGGGUGAGUAACACGUGGAUAACCUACCUAUAAGACUGGGAUAACUUCGGGAAACCGGAGCUAAUACCGGAUCAUAUAUUGAACCGCAUGGUUCAAUAGUGAAAGACGGUUUUGCUGUCACUUAUAGAUGGAUCCGCGCCGCAUUAGCUAGUUGGUAAGGUAACGGCUUACCAAGGCAACGAUGCGUAGCCGACCUGAGAGGGUGAUCGGCCACACUGGAACUGAGACACGGUCCAGACUCCUACGGGAGGCAGCAGUAGGGAAUAUUCCGCAAUGGGCGAAAGCUUGACGGAGCAACGCCGCGUGAGUGAUGAAGGUCUUCGGAUCGUAAAACUCUGUUAUUAGGGAAGAACAAAUGUGUAAGUAACUAUGCACGUCUUGACGGUACCUAAUCAGAAAGCCACGGCUAACUACGUG
rnacentral:rRNA from 1 species